rnacentral:rRNA from 1 species
CCUGGUCGAUCCUGCCAGUAGUCAUACGCUUGUCUCAAAGAUUAAGCUAUGCAUGUCUAAGUAUAAACAUAUUUGUACUGUGAAACUGCGAAUGGCUCAUUAUAUCAGUUAUAGUCUAAUCGAUUGUACCUUACUACUUGGAUAACCGUAGUAAUUCUAGAGCUAAUACAUGCAUGAAUACCCAACUGCUUGUCGGGCGGGUAGCAUUUAUUAGAUUGAAACCAAUGCAGUCUUCGGACUGGUAUUGUGUUGAAUCAUAAUAACUGUGUGGAUCGUGCUUUUGCGCGAUGAAUCGAUUGAGUUUCUGCCCUAUCAGCUUUGGAUGGUAGGAUAUGGGCCUACCAUGGCAUUAACGGGUAACGGGGAAUUAGGUUUUGAUUCCGGAGAGGGAGCCUUAGAAACGGCUACCACAUCCAAGGAAGGCAGCAGGCGCGUAAAUUACCCAAUCCUGAUACAGUGAGGUAGUGACAAUAAAUAAUAAUACUCUGGCUCUUCGAGUCGGGCAAUUGGAAUGAGUACAAUUUAAAUCCCUUAAUGAGGAUCAAUUGGAGGGUAAGUCUGGUUUGAUAAUUAUUUUAUUGUUUUUAGGUGAGAAAAGGAGAUAGUGGAAGAGAAAACCUACAAAAUGGUAUAUCGGUCGCUUGUGUACAAAAAAAGUACAAAUUGUGUGAACCACAUCAAAUAUAAAAUUUGGCAGGUAAAAUGUUGGUUUGGACCAUAAACCAUAUCAAGUCUUGGAGGGUAUAAAAUUCCAGAGGUCAUGUCGUAUCAGAGGUUUGGCUGAAGUAGCUGAAGUAACUCUGAAGUAGGGCUGGAAAUGAGUGGUGCGCUGCGGAAUAGAGUCUUCAUUUUACAAUUUCCCCUGUAAAGCUCAAGUGAAUCUAAAACCCCAUGGUAGGUCCAAUUGUCCGAACAACUUGGCCACGGAGACUGACUGAUCUUGUGACAGAAUAACCAGGACACCGACAAGAGUGCAGGCGCUGGAGAAGGUGAGGAGGGGGCCUCACUUACUCUAUCCUCGACUCCUGACGUACGCUUAGACGUUUCCGAACGGAGGGGUCGGUUGCUUGGAGCCGGGGAUGGGGUAGGUGGUGCAACUACAUCGCCAACGCAGCCGGUAGCGGCCUUGAAUGGAGACGUGUCAUCCAAAAACGUGGACACAUCAAGUGGAGGAUACGCAACCACUGAAGUG